UAUAACUUGAUGUAAGAUGCAUACAGAAUUUUGAUUUCUUUUGGCUUAGUUUAAUUCUAAGAGUUGUAU
rnacentral:tRNA from 1 species